rnacentral:rRNA from 1 species
AGCGAACGCUGGCGGCAGGCCUAACACAUGCAAGUCGAACGAACUCUUCGGAGUUAGUGGCGGACGGGUGAGUAACACGUGGGGACGUGCCUUUUUGUUCGGAAUACCUCAGGGAAACUUGUGCUAAUACCGAAUGUGCCCUUCUGGGGAAAGAUUUAUCGCCCUUAGAGCGGCCCGCGUCUGAUUAGCUAGUUGGUGAGGUAACGGCGCACCAAGGCGACGAUCAGUAGCUGGUCUGAGAGGAUGACCAGCCACACUGGGACUGAGACACGGCCCAGACUCCUACGGGAGGCAGCAGUGGGGAAUCUUGCGCAAUGGGCGAAAGCCUGACGCAGCCAGGCCGCGUGAAUGAUGAAGGUCUUAGGAUUGUAAAAUUCUUUCACCGGGGACGAUAAUGACGGUACCCGGAGAAGAAGCCCCGGCUAACUUCGUG